AUGAUGAGUGGAUAGAGACUAUAGAGCUAUGGGAAAGCAGGCUUCUUUCUGUUGCUGAUGUCAUUUGUGAGCGGCUGGCAUGCGGGUUGCAUCUUCCCCUUGAUUCAUUCAGAUGUCGGCGAUUUAAUCCACUGAUUUCUACUGGGAUGAAUCUUGAAGGAGAAAAAGAGGGCAAAAUUUUGGAAAUUCCACACCGGGAUUAUAGUCUUCUUAGUGUCCAAGCAGGCCACAAAUAUGUGGGACUCAACCUUUGGUCCAAAAAGGACCAAAAGGUUGAGAUCAACAUACAUGCGGGCCAUCUAGCCAUCAUUGCUGGCAAACAACUUGAACAACUCUCAGGAGGUAAGAUAAUUGCUCCCAAACAUGAAUAUGUGCUGAGCAAGAACAUCAUGAAAGAGUUAGAGAAACAUAAAGAUAAAGAACAUCGCAACAUUAGUUCGUGGAGGAUUACCUCCACCUUGUUUACACAACAAGCUUGAGACUUUCCUCCCAAUGGAACCUAAGAAGAAGGCGGAGAACCUCAACUAUCCAGCUGUGAAAAGAAUGAGAAAUGAGAAAUGAGAUGUUUACAUAUUGUUCUGCAACAAGCCUCCUCAUUUGUUGCAAGUUUUGAGAUUUGUUCCAUUUAACUUUGCUGCUUAGCCUAAAUUUGUCCAUAUAAUGACUCGAAAGGUUUUGAUAGUAUUUGAUAAGAAUGAUUGAGUGUUACUGAUAACUUUGCUGCUUAGCCUAAAUUUUUCCAUAUAACUUUGAUUCCAA